rnacentral:rRNA from 1 species
UGGGGAAUAUUGCACAAUGGGCGAAAGCCUGAUGCAGCGACGCCGCGUGAGGGAUGACGGCCUUCGGGUUGUAAACCUCUUUCAGCAGGGACGAAGCGCAAGUGACGGUACCUGCAGAAGAAGCACCGGCUAACUACGUGCCAGCAGCCGCGGAAAUACGGAGGGAGCUAGCGUUGUUCGGAAUUACUGGGCGUAAAGAGUACGUAGGCGGUGAUUCAAGUCAGAGGUGAAAGCCUGGAGCUCAACUCC